CCAGGGGACCCUGCUGAUGGCCACCUUAAUAGACCUGGGUGCUUAUACCAAGAAGGUCAUCAUUCAGAUUAUUUCUGGGUAUUUCUUUAGUUUCUUUGCCAACAUCUUCCUUCAAGUUUACUCAAGAUGGAGCAAGCCUGCAUCCCCUUGGUAAUAUCAUCUGAGCCUUUCCACUUUCUUCCAGAGAGCUAACACUUCAGUGUGAAACUUUGUCUGGUCUUCCUUUUUUAUAUAAUAUUAAUGCAUACAAACUUACACAAUGUUGUAUGCAGGUUGUGAAGCAUAAAAAGUGAAGCCCCGAACCUACCACCAGUCUUAAGAUGAGUACCAUUGAAUUCACCUGCGUGUUUUUCCCUGUCAUAUCCCCUGCCUCACACCUUAGAGGCACCCACUCUCCUGAGUUGUCUCUCAUUUCCUUUAUAAACAGUCUUCACAUAUGUAUCUCUAAAAAAUAGACUGUUUUGCUUUGUUCUUGAAUUUCAUAAAAAUGGUAUCAUGCUGAAAA